rnacentral:sRNA from 1 species
CGGAGCGGGCCAUGAAGGAAGCAGCUGAGAAGGAACAGGAGCUGCUAAGAGAAAAACAGAAGGAGCAGCAGCAAAUGAUGGAGGCUCAAGAGAGAAGCUUCCGGGAAUACAUGGCCCAAAUGGAGAAGAAGUUGGAGGAGGAAAGGGAAAACCUUCUCAGAGAGCAUGAAAGGCUGCUAAAACACAAGCUGAAGGUACAAGAAGAAAUGCUUAAGGAAGAGUUUCAAAAGAAAUCUGAGCAGUUAAAUAAAGAGAUUAAUCAACUGAAAGAAAAAAUCGAAAGCAAUGAAAAUGAACAGUUAAGGUUUUCAAAGAUCCUUGACAUAGCUAGCAACAUAAUGGUUGUCUCUCUACCUGGGGCUUCUAAGCUACUUGGAGUAGGGAUAAAAUAUCUUGGCUCACGUAUUUAAGAGCCUGAAUGUUCCAG